rnacentral:rRNA from 1 species
ACUGGGAUAACAUAGGGAAACUUAUGCUAAUACCGGAUAGGGUUUUGCUUCGCCUGAAGCGAAACGGAAAGAUGGCGCAAGCUAUCACUUACAGAUGGGCCUGCGGCGCAUUAGCUAGUUGGUGAGGUAAUGGCUCACCAAGGCGACCAUGCGUAACCGACCUGAGAGGGUGACCGGCCACACUGGGACUGACACACGGCCCACACUCCUACGGGAGGCAGCAGUAGGGAAUUUUCCACAAUGGACGAAAGUCUGAUGGACCACCGCCGCGUGAACAAUGAAGGCUUUCGGGUCGUAAAGUUCUGUUGUUAGGGAAGAAACAGUGCUAUUUAAAUAAGGUACCACCUUGACGGUACCUAACGAGAAAGCCACGGCUAACUACGUGCCACCAGCCGCGGUAAUACGUAGGUGGCAAGCGUUGUCCGGAAUUAUUGGGCGUAAAGCGCGCGCAGGUGGCUAUGUAAGUCUGAUGUUAAAGCCCGAGGCUCACCCUCCGUUCUCAUUGGAAACUGUGUAGCUUGAGUGCAAGAAAGGAAAGUGGUAUUCCACGUGUAGCGGUGAAAUGCGUAUAGAUGUGAAGGAACACCAGUGGCGAAAGCUACUUUCUGGCCUGUAACUGACACUG